rnacentral:rRNA from 1 species
UAAGGUAAAUAUUUGGUUCUGGUAUAAUGUUAGCUACAGAGUUUUUUACAUUACACAAUGUAGAAUAAUUUCGUGAUGUGUAAAAGUUUGAUUUACGUGAUAAGCCAAACUUAGACAUCCUAAAAGGAAAAGUUGGUAGCAAGAGCAUAAGUUUUUAAUGAUGACGCGAAGGAAAUCACAACUCAAGUGGGUAGAUCUGGAAAUCAAUGAGUUCUAGCUUGAAACGAAUAAAAAACUAACUAAAUUGAAGCGAAAGAGGGUGCCAGCAGCUGCGGUCACUCCCUCUCUCGAGGAGCUAAUAAGGGUGCAGCUUAGAGGCAGUUAGUCAAAAUGCAUAAUGCAAGACAUACAGCAAGGACUAUGGGCGAAAUCUCAGUCUUGCGGGAGGUCCAAAACUUGCGUAAAGAUGAGUCUGCGAAGUUAUGGGUAUAGACCCGGAUUUGGUACCCGGUUAUUCCAUAAUGUCAAGUAUAACUAUUUUAUUAGAAUUAAUAGUUUGCUAGGGGUACUACGAGCAACUGCUUAAAACUCGAAGAACUUGGCGGUUCCGCACAACCACCCAGAGGCUCUUGGCGCUUAAUCUGAUGGUCCGCGUGAUAUCUUACCUGCCCUAUAGAAAGCAGUGUACUGCCGUCGAAAGCUUAUGAUGUGAGUAAGUGAAAAUAGGCCCGAUCUUGGGGUUUUAAGUAAUUAAUAAUCAUGCCGAGGCUAGGUCAGGUCGAAGUGCUCCUUAUGGGCAAGGGGUUAGCUGAGAGACAAAUAUUUAGACAUAUGAAGAUUUUAGAGAUGAAAUUCUCUUAGUGAAUAUAAGGAUUUGGGAGUAAAAAGAGAGUAACUCGUUUUUUUGAAAAGACGCAACUGCGGUGCGUUCAAAUCGCCCGUCACCCUAGCCGAAAGGAGAGGUAAGUCGUAACAUGGUAAGGGUAGGGGAACUUGCUCUUUUAAU